CCUACGGGAGGCAGCAGUGAGGAAUAUUGGUCAAUGGACGAGAGUCUGAACCAGCCAAGUAGCGUGAAGGAUGACUGCCCUAUGGGUUGCAAACUUCUUUUAUAUGGGAAUAAAAUGUUCCACGUGUGGGAUUUUGUAUGUACCAUAUGAAUAAGGAUCGGCUAACUCCGUGCCAGCAGCCGCGGUAAUACGGAGGAUCCGAGCGUUACCCGGAUGUAUUGGGUUUAAAGGGAGCGUAGGUGGAUUGUUAAGUCAGUUGUGAAAGUUUGCGGCUCAACCGUAAAAUUGCAGUUGAAACUGGCAGUCUUGAGUACAGUAGAGGUGGGCGGAAUUCGUGGUGUAGCGGUGAAAUGCUUAGAUAUCACGAAGAACGCCGAUUGCGAAGGCAGCUCACUGGACUGCAACUGACACUGAGGCUCGAAAGUGUGGGUAUCAAACAGGAUUAGAUACCCCUGGUAGUC
rnacentral:rRNA from 1 species